AAUUCUACAAGCGCUUUGUGGGGCAUCCGUGGUGGGCUCAAGCCUGCCCUUUUCAGGGAAGACCUGCAGCCUAGCGGGACUCCGACGCGGAACCUCGACGCAGGGCUGUGAGGGGGCAGGGCUAGGUUCACGAGGCACACCAGGGAAAGGGUCACUUCCGCUUCCGGGGCGGUGCUGGUGCUUUCUGCGGUACCACCGGGAAGUAACUCCAGGGAAAAUUUCUUAGAAGUAUCGUGUGCUUGGCUCCAACAGACGAGACUUCGCCGGUUCGGGCCGGCUGCCUCUCCCUCCACCUGACUCUGUGCCUAACCCAUGGAAAGUGUGCUUGACAAAUCUUCGCUAUCGAGUGAACACCGGAAAAAGACACCUGUUCCAGUUACUUUGGCCUAGGAGACUCCAAUGAAAGGCAGUGAGUCACUCGCAGCACAUGUCCUGGGAGAUCUUGGACCGGACUGAAUUUGAACUCCUGGCCCAGCUCCUGACGCUGUCAUCAAGUCGCAGUUCCCAGCUCUGCCAGUUUGCAGCCUCUACCUCAGCAUCCAAAUCUGUAGAAAGGUACCCAUUUUCUUCCACAGAGAAAACAUCCAAACGUGUCAUUGUGCUGAGACAUCAUUAGAGAUGAUAGUGUCUUUAAAGGAAAUUAGCCGAUCAAUCAAGCAAAGCUAUUGCUAAUUUUCUUUUUCUUUCCUCACCUCCACCCUCCUCUUCUUUCCUAAAUUCCUCAAAAGCAAUACCUUUCCAAAGCAAAAAGGGCCAAGGACAGGGCCUGGUCGAGAAACUCCAGGCUUGACUUUAGCGUUCUCCAGAAGGCUCGGGGGACCUCCAAAGUAGCCAGAGUGGCUUGAGAUUUUACUUUGUUUUAUAAUUGCAAUUAUAACGAAGAUAGUAAUAAUUACACCUACUAUUUGUUGAAAUGGGUACUAAUAUCAUUCCUACUU